GUGGGGAAUAUUGGGCAAUGGGCGAAAGCCUGACCCAGCAACGCCGCGUGAAGGAAGAAGGUCUUCGGAUUGUAAACUUCUUUGAUCAGGGACGAAAGAAAUGACGGUACCUGAAGAACAAGCCACGGCUAACUACGUGCCAGCAGCCGCGGUAAUACGUAGGUGGCAAGCGUUAUCCGGAUUUACUGGGUGUAAAGGGCGUGUAGGCGGUUCUGCAAGUCAGAUGUGAAAUUCCCGGGCUUAACCCGGGCGCUGCAUCUGAAACUGCAGAACUUGAGUACUGGAGAGGAUAGUGGAAUUCCUAGUGUAGCGGUAAAAUGCGUAGAUAUUAGGAGGAACACCAGUGGCGAAGGCGGCUAUCUGGACAGUAACUGACGCUGAGGCGCGAAAGCGUGGGGAGCAAACAGGAUUAGAUACCCCAGUAGUCC
rnacentral:rRNA from 1 species